CCUACGGGAGGCUGCAGUGGGGAAUAUUGGACAAUGGGGGCAACCCUGAUCCAGCCAUGCCGCGUGUGUGAAGAAGGCCCUCGGGUUGUAAAGCACUUUCAGUGAGGAAGAACGCCUGGUGGUUAAUACCCAUCAGGAAAGACAUCACUCACAGAAGAAGCACCGGCUAACUCCGUGCCAGCAGCCGCGGUAAUACGGAGGGUGCGAGCGUUAAUCGGAAUUACUGGGCGUAAAGCGCGCGUAGGUGGCUUGAUAAGCCGGUUGUGAAAGCCCCGGGCUCAACCGGGGAACGGCAUCCGGAACUGUCAAGCUAGAGUGCAGGAGAGGAAGGUAGAAUUCCCGGUGUAGCGGUGAAAUGCGUAGAGAUCGGGAGGAAUACCAGUGGCGAAGGCGGCCUUCUGGACUGACACUGACACUGAGGUGCGAAAGCGUGGGUAGCAAACAGGAUUAGAUACCCGAGUAGUC
rnacentral:rRNA from 1 species